rnacentral:rRNA from 1 species
GGGCCAUCCGAAUGAGUCUUUGGGUCACCUCCCACCCGUGUUUAUUUUACCUUGUUGCUUCGGCGGGCCCGCCUUUACUGGCCGCCGGGGGGCUCACGCCCCCGGGCCCGCGCCCGCCGAAGACACCCCCGAACUCUGUCUGAAGAUUGAAGUCUGAGUGAAAAUAUAAAUUAUUUAAAACUUUCAACAACGGAUCUCUUGGUUCCGGCAUCGAUGAAGAACGCAGCGAAAUGCGAUACGUAAUGUGAAUUGCAAAUUCAGUGAAUCAUCGAGUCUUUGAACGCACAUUGCGCCCCCUGGUAUUCCGGGGGGCAUGCCUGUCCGAGCGUCAUUGCUGCCCUCAAGCCCGGCUUGUGUGUUGGGCCCCGUCCUCCGAUUCCGGGGGACGGGCCCGAAAGGCAGCGGCGGCACCGCGUCCGGUCCUCGAGCGUAUGGGGCUUUGUCACCCGCUCUGUAGGCCCGGCCGGCGCUUGCCGAUCAACCCAAAUUUUUAUCCAGGUUGACCUCGGAUCAGGUAGGGAUACCCGCUGAACUUAAGCAUAUCAAUAAGCGGAGGAA